UUAAUAGUUAAAAACUUAAACCAGUCCUUGAAAGAUUAAGCAUGUCUCAAUUUAGUCUUCAAUAGACCAAAUAUAUCAAAUCGUUGUUUUCGGGAAAAUACAUUUACAAAUCAGAUUGAGGAUUGUAAAAAGCUCUGUGGCUAAUUUGGUUUAUUGAUGUUGUGAUACAUCAUGCAUUUGGUUCAUUUCUGUAAAUUUUUGGUUUAGGGAAGCAAGCAAACUAGAAUGGAUCCAUAUUAGUUUAUUGAUGUUCACUGCCAAUUUGUACAGGUAUAAAAUUAUUGGUUCGUAUACUGGUGUUAACAUUUGUAGUUGGACCAAGUCACAGCUUUGAGGAUGGUGUGGUUGCUACAAGCAUUCAUUCUAUGGUAAAAUGCAAGACAUGGCUUUUAAUAUUUGUCUUUUUGCUGCUGUUGCCGCUGCCACCUCUCUUGGUUUGCUUCUGCUGCGGUAUUGCUGUUGCUGUUAGGGCACAAAUUUAGUUUCUGGGUGCUAGGGCAGUGCUAAAAAUAAUGGAGCUCAUAAUGGAUGAACACACUACUUAUGAAAUUUGAUAUUUUGUAACCAAGGAUAAGGAAAUAGAUAUGUGACACUUUGAAUUGUAAUUUUUAUUUUCUUUUUAUGACUUUGAUUUUUGGUACUUUGUGAUCAAAGUCUACUUUUGUGGUGACAAGCUUAUAUAUAAGGCCUUUUUUUUAUGGGGAAGUUUAUAUAUAUGUUUGAUUGGUUGA